UACGUAGGGUCCGAGCGUUGUCCGGAAUUAUUGGGCGUAAAGGGCUCGUAGGCGGUUUGUCACGUCGGGAGUGAAAACUCAGGGCUCAACCCUGAGCGUGCUUCCGAUACGGGCAGACUAGAGGUAUGCAGGGGAGAACGGAAUUCCUGGUGUAGCGGUGGAAUGCGCAGAUAUCAGGAGGAACACCGGUGGCGAAGGCGGUUCUCUGGGCAUGACCUGACGCUGAGGAGCGAAAGCAUGGGGAGCGAACCGG
rnacentral:rRNA from 1 species